UACAGAGGGUGCAAGCGUUAUUCGGAAUUAUUGGGCAUAAAGCGCAUGUAGGUGGUUUGAUAAGUUUGAUGUGAAAUCCCCGGACUCAAUUCGGGAAGUGCAUUGAAUACUGUCAGGCUAGAGUAUGGGAGAGGUGAGCGGAAUUCCAGGUGUAGAGGUGAAAUUCGUAGAUAUCUGGAGGAACAACAGAGGCGAAGGCGGCUCACUGGACCAUUACUGACACUGAGAUGCGAAAGCGUGGGGAGCAAACAGG
rnacentral:rRNA from 1 species